rnacentral:lncRNA from 1 species
CUCUUUAAAAGCUUCCAGAGUCGAUUAUAUUUUGGAUUGUGUUUCAGAUCACCCCUCCUCCACGUUGUUUGGUGGGUCCUCAAACAAGUUCCCAGAAUAAAUUAGACAUAACGGUAGCAGGAUUUUUUUAUUUUUUUUCCUUGAGGAGGAGGAAGGAAUAAAUGACACCAAAUUCUGUAAUGGAAAAAAAAAAGUAUGUAUCGGAAACUUCUGCUGAGUGACUCAUGCUGCUGGACAAACGGAACCUCACUCAUCACUCCAUCUUCAUCCUCCUCCUCUGCAUUCUCAGUAAUGAAAAAGCUCUCAAAGAUGGUAGGGGGCUGUCCUGUCAAAGCAUGGCAAGCACAUCACCCUGAAACAUCAUGGAAAAGAUCCAAUUUGAGUCAAUCUCUGCCGGCUACCCAGGCUGUUGAAAUGUCAGAUGGUAAAAACAAGCAAGAGUUCCAGAUGGGGCAACUGGACGAGAAACAUGACAAAGAUGGUAAUGGGGAAGCUUCAGAUUCUAACUUAACUGGGAGUUCUGUAUCCUCACCUGUGACUUCCAAAUCCACUUCUGUCCAAGCCCUUAUGCUAGGCAACAUGCCAUGAGGAAAUUCUUC